rnacentral:rRNA from 1 species
GACGAACGCUGGCGGCGUGCUUAACACAUGCAAGUCGUACGGUAAGGCCCUUUCGGGGGUACACGAGUGGCGAACGGGUGAGUAACACGUGAGUAACCUGCCCACAACUUUGGGAUAACGCUAGGAAACUGGUGCUAAUACUGGAUAUGUGCUCCUGCUGCAUGGUGGGGGUUGGAAAGCUCCGGCGGUUGUGGAUGGACUCGCGGCCUAUCAGCUUGUUGGUGGGGUAGUGGCCUACCAAGGCGGCGACGGGUAGCCGGCCUGAGAGGGUGACCGGCCACAUUGGGACUGAGAUACGGCCCAGACUCCUACGGGAGGCAGCAGUGGGGAAUAUUGCACAAUGGGCGCAAGCCUGAUGCAGCAACGCCGCGUGCGGGAUGACGGCCUUCGGGUUGUAAACCGCUUUCAGCAGGGACGAAGCUUUUUGUGACGGUACCUGCAGAAGAAGCACCGGCUAACUGCGUG